rnacentral:tRNA from 1 species
GCGGGCAUGAGGAUGGCCACCUCAAUCACUCCUAGGAAGUGAUCCUGAAAGAUGGUAGGUGGGUUCGAUUCCCACUGCUUGCU